CUCCUCUCAGGGUCACAACUGGAGAGUUUCCAGACUCUACCAGUCUCGGCUAUGGGAGGGAGAAUCAAGCAGAGGCCUACCCAUUCUACUCCUAGUUUGGACAGCUGCUAGCGAAUGGAAGGUAAUCUGCUACAAGU